ACGCAGAUGAUGCUAAAAUCUAUCGUGAAAUCCGUGAGUCCGAGGACCAUCUUCAACUUCAAGCCACUUUGACUGAAUUUGUCUCCUGGUGCAAGCGUAACGCACUAAGCAUCUGUAUCGAUAAAUGUGCCAUAAUCUCAUUCAGCCGUUCAAGAGCUCCAGAGCUGUUUAAUUAUACGCUUGAUAGUCAGAACCUCGAAAUAGUGAACUAAGUAAAGGAUCUAGGAGUCCUCCUAGAUGCUAAACUCUCCUUCGAAGAACAGAUAGACCAAGUAGUCGCUAGUGGCAAUCGUCUACUUGGCUUGGUCAUAAACAUGACGCGCGAGCUUCGUGAUCCUAUGUGUUUCAAGACACUGUACUGCGACUGACACUUAUCAGACCACUGCUGGAAUAUGCUAGCAUUGUUUGGUGGCCAGCAUCUACUCGGGCACUUGCGUGGCUAGAGUCCAUCCAACGGAAGGCAACGCGCUUCGCCCUUCGUGAUUGGCCGCGUCGUCUCGACUACAGAACUAGGUGUUUGCUGCUUGGGAUCCCGCCUCUCGCCGAACGUGUUGAGCACGCCAGACUGGCAUUUAUCACGGGAAUCUUAAACGGAACCAUUGACUGUCCCGAGCUGCUUUCAAGGAUUUACCUCUAUGUUCCUGCCAGAAUACUUCGUCGUCGACCAAUGCUGGCAGUCGCUCAAACCCGAACAACAUUUGGCUCUCGCAAUCCCCUUCUUUGUAUGUGCCGUCUUUUAAAUUCAGCUGACGAUAUUUACGAGCCUGGAAUGACGAUAACGGAACUGACUUCGCUUUUAAGUGUUCGGAAUGCGUUCAACAAUAACAAUAUGUAAAUGUUCUGUUCGUUAUCUAAUGUGUAUUGUAAACAAAUUUUGACUCGAGAGGGCUUCAUAGUCCAUCGAUUAAUAAACUAAACUAAACUAAACUAAACAUGA